rnacentral:antisense_RNA from 1 species
GAACACAAAAUGGCGACACGUGGUUAGCAUUCGUCGCCAACGAGAAAUUGGGGUCGGCCCGAAAGCUCUAGAAUGCACCCCUAUUCCUCCCCGGGGCCAUUCCCGCUCAACGAGUUUUAUGACCUAAAAAACCCCACAGGCUGGUCUGAAGGUCGGAGGCCUAAUUUUAACGCGUUUUCCUCCCUUUAAUUUGAAACGGGAACGCGAAUAACUAAAAUGUGGGCACAAUAUUUAACCUCUUGCUUUUUUAAAGCUUAAUAAUGGAUAGUAGGGGGCAGUAUCAAGGGAUAAUUUGGGUCCCCACAGUACCAAAGCAUUUAGAAACCUCUGCUUAAUUUAAGGAAUGAGAUAAAUUACUGCUUUUCUAGAUUUGGUAGCAUGGGCUGUUGUGCUGGAGAGAACGAGAGCUACGAAGAGACUAGAAUGCCUCUGACUUUUUCAUAGGACAGUUGGCCGAGGAAGACACUUAAAGAUGAAGUGCUUAAUUCAAGGUCACAGAAUGUCGGGGAUGGACCUCCAGAUUUCCUUACUGGAAAACAAGCUCAGGGCUCCCACUGAUUGUACAUUAUGGUGAGACGUGGUCUUGUAACACAGUGGUUAAGAAUGUGACUUUGGAGCCAGCCUGCUAGGGGCUGAAUUCUGACUCAGCCAUUUAUUAACUGUGUGACCUUAGGUCAUAGAAUUUUCCACACUCCUUGACGGAGGUUCUUAACCCUUAUCCAUCAGCAUUCUCAGACAGCACCUCCGGUUAGGGACAGUAUCUGACCGUCCGACAUCCCUGCAGCCCCCAUGCUGUCACACAGACUCAGCCUCAGGUAGAUGGUUUCCGUAGAUGGUGGCUUUCUUUGGACCCUUGAUAUCAACCAGUUACUAUUUG